ACUGGGAUGCUGCCUUGCACUUAGGGAAGGUUCACAUGCCUCAAGGAUCUCUCUCUCUCAGAUUUCUUGACUUUCCCUCAGUCUUCAGUAUAGUCCUCCUCUGUGCCUGGUGAAGACCUGUGGUAAAGUGCUGGCAGGUGAGUACAGCUUGAUGGUGUGGAUGGGUUCCUUGGGACUCCAGCAUGUCAAGCUAGUUCACACACAGGUCUUAAUAGUUGUCUAAGAUUCAUGUAGUUCCUCAUUUUCUUUUCUGUGGUAGAUUCUGUUUCCUGCUGCACCACCAGGGAUGAAAAAAUUCACUGGUCUCUUCUUUUAUAGAACGGGAUCAUAACUAUACAGAUUUUAGUUAAGUUAGCUUUAUUAGUAUUCUCAGCUUUUUUAAUGGGAUAAAAAGCAAUGAUAUUAUGGAUUAUCUGACUUUUCCUUUAGUAUUAGGUUUGCCCAAUCAUCUCCAUGAUUUCUAAAUUCCAAACUUCUUGAAUAAAUAAAAUUUAAAAGAAAACAUUGUACUAAAGUCAAAAGAAGGGUUUUAAGGCAUAGUUCUACUUUUUACUGUCCAUGUAUCCUUGGAUAAACUACUUCUCUGAAAUUGUAUUGCUUGCUUUUUCAGCUUGUUGAGUCUUUCAUAAAUUUAAGGGUUGGAAUAUGUCUCUCAGACAGAAAUUGAUAGAGCUUUGCAAGUCUUCAGAUGUAUUCAAGUUUGGUAAACACUGGGUUAGGCCAUGGAUAAAAGAUUGGUCUUUGUGUGUUCAUAAGAAAACCUGGAUAGGAAGCUCUUCUUCUUACAGAAAGCCUCGAUUGAGAAGUAAAGCUGGGACUAUUAGUCCGUGUUCUGCAGUGAAAUAAUGGUAGCCAUGCAUAGAUUGAUUUAAGAUCUAUGCAUGUUAAGAUACCUGUCUUAACACAGGUAAUAGUCACAUCAGGGAAAAGAGCAACAGGCAGAACUCUUGGCUUUGUGUAAGAGCCCAAGGAAAGGGCCUGAGAGAGUACACACUGUAUCAAAGUGUAGUGUUAAUGUGAGGUGUCGGGAAAAAGGUCUUGGGUGUGUGUGUGUCUGCAUAAUAUAUGUGUGGAAAACUCUCAGUGCUGGUCCUUUGAGAUAUGUCUGUGAAAACUCUUUCAAUUAACAAAAAUAACCAACAUUAAUUGAAUACUUUUUAUGUGCCAGUCACUGUUCCAAGUUCUCUACAAAAGGUAAUUCUUUAGUCCUUAUAGUAAUACUGUAGUGGUGCUGAUACUAUUUUUAUCUUCAUUUUUCAGAGAGGAAGCUAAAUCACGUAAAAAUUAAGAAACAGCUCAGCGUUUCACAGCUAGUAAGUAACAGAGAUGGGCUUGAGACCCAGAUUGGCAGGAUCCAGGUCUUGUGCUCAUGACGACUCUGCUAUGGUGCCUCCCUUGAAAGCAUCUUAGUGCUUUCAUUGUUGUUUUUGUUAUUGUUAUUCUUACUAUUAUUUUGUACCCCCUUGGUGGAUAGUGGCUGUGAAUUUGUAGUUGUUGGUGUGUUUCUUCUGGAGCGUAAGCUCCUUCCUCCUCUAUUGUUAGCCAGAGUUUUUGUUACCUUUGAAAUAAUUGCUAAAUCAACAAAACAUCUGUUACAUUGCUGCUGCUCGAAUGGCUAUCUUUUAGAAUUAGCACUCUUCUUUCUGAAUCUGAUGCCACAGCCUUUUGAACUUAAGGUAUUUGGAUGUGUCAGUAAAGGGGCUGUGGUAGCUGUGGUGACAGCAACUCCAAUGGUGGUGACCGUAGAGAAUGUGGCAGAGCUGUGAAUGAGAUGAAGAGAUUUAGUGAUGGCAGAGGAAACUUUGGGAUUUCACAACUUUCUUCCUCCAAAAACUAUUUGAAAGCAGAUAUGAGGAGUGGGAAAUACAGAAACAAUUCCAGCCUUUGUGCACCUUACAGCAUAAUGAGUGAUGCUCACAGCUGAUAAAUAAUAAUAGCAAAUACCUGUAUAGAACUUACUAUGUACUGGACACUUUCCCAAAUAUUUUACAUGCGUUAUCUCACAUGUUCCACUCAAUAAUCCCAGAAGAUGGAACUCUGAUCUCUAGUUUGCAGUUGAGGAAACUGAGGCAAAGCAAGGUUAAGGAGCUUGCUCAAGAUCCCACAACCAGUAGGUGACAGAACUGAUAUUUGAACCUAGGAAGAUUGGCUUGAGAAUCUGACACUUAAACACUAUCCUAUUCUGCUAACAAAUAAUGAAUCAGUUGGCAACUAUGGUAAGAGCUACAGAGACAAUGAGAAGAUGAGGGGGAUUGAGCUGAGUCUGGAGGGUUUGGGAAGACUUGCCUGAUGAAGUGAUGAGGAGUGAUGAAAAAGUCAGCCAGGUGAAGGGGCUUGUGUAUAUGUACAUGUGUGUGCCUGUGUUCCUCUGCCCAUGCAUGUGGCAUGGUCAGGGAGACACAUUUUUAGGACUUGUGUAACACAUCUCUGUAAAUAGCUUCAAAAUAAAAUAUCAAUUUGUGAUUCUUGUAAUGGAAAUUUACUUCAUACACAACUUUCAGGCACUGUUUUGUAGCAUAAUUCAAAGUGAUGCUGUCUUUGUAUACGGCUUUAAGACAGUUUUUGAGCACAUAUCUCUGCAUGUCUGUGUCCUGCUUUGUGGGCAGUAAGAAGCUUGGGAAUCCCGGAAAGCUGAAUUCACAUUCCAGCUUUUUAGCCGUGGUCAUUGCUCAGUUAUUUGGGGUUGUGUUCUCUGUUUGUUGAUUAAUAGAAAAUGCAUUAAAAGUGCAUAAAAUAGAAAAAUUACCCCCAAUCAGUGCAAACGUCCACAUAUCUGAAGGCUUCUGUUGCAGGUGCCUGGUAAUCAUCAGAACCCCUCUAGUGAGACCACCAGGUUAUUUCUGGGCUCCAUCCCAGAGUCAAUGGUCCCUCAAAAAGGAAGCUUUUGUUUACUGUAAGCAAAACCAAAUGGGAUUAGGAGGGCCAUGGAUUCAAGAACUCUAAAGACAGGGUUGAGAAAUUAAGUGAGAAGGAGAAGACAGAGGAAGAUCUAAGCAUUGAGAUUACUCCUCUGCCCAACUUAGUUGUGUUCUAACAUUUUUAAAAACGAGAUUAACUGGGAAGCAAAUAGAAAUUAGACUAUUUAUUAGCAAGCCUUUAGCAGUUUCUCAUCAAGUGACACAUUUGGUGUUUAGUGUUCCUAAUGAGUUGCACUAGGGUUAUUUUUACACUUUUGGGCAUCUGUGGAGUGGUAAAUGUGUUCCUAAAUAUUAGAUAUAAUUACAAUAAAAUAUGUUUAUAUAAAUUUACUUGCUACCAGAUUCAGACUAGUUUUGUUUUAAUCAGGGUUUAGAAUUAUACAUGACUUUCAUCUCUCUUCACCUUUAUCAUCAUUAAUCAAGAGCUGACUAUAUCAGAUGUCUGCACUUGAGUGGACACACUGGAUCUCUUUGAAUUUUGGUUUUCGAAUGAUUUUAAUCCUCUUUUUCUUUUUUUUUAUUGUUUAUUUUUAACAUUGAGAUUAUUUAUUAGUGACUACAAGUGGAAACAGAGCAGAGGUGUGCAACGCUCAUCACCCAGAUAACUAAUUUGCCCUUUAAAUUGCAUAUCUGCCUCUUUUUUUUUUGUUUGUUUCUUUUUUUUUUAUUAUUAUACUUUAAGUUUUA
rnacentral:lncRNA from 1 species